CUAGUACUCUCUUCGUCCUAAAAUUCUUGUCUUAAAUUUAUUUAAAUACGAAUAUAUCAAGUCACGUUUUAGUAUUAGAUACAUCCGUAUUUAAAUUAAUUUAAGACAAAAAUUUUGAGACAGAGGAAGUACCAU
rfam:Triticum urartu cultivar G1812 contig985816, whole genome shotgun sequence.